rnacentral:lncRNA from 1 species
CAGGAACCUGUCUGGGCUGAUGCGCAUUAUCGACGUACAUCCUCUCUGGACUCAAAAUUUGUGGUCCUUGAAUUUGCUAUCUACGUCAAAGAAUGGCACAUAUACCAGAUGAGGCGGUGAUAGGGCAGCAGGACACAAUCGAGACUGAAGAAGGGCCCGAGGACUCGCGCUCCAAUGACGCCGGAUGGAGUCCACCGCCACUUGCUCUUGGUGGACUACUCUGGACUGCCGCGUCGAAUGCCAUGUGACGCCUUGCUCGCCAUCCUGGGAUGAAAUUUCUUUAAAAUAAAGUGUUGUGCUGUUCUUUAGAAUCGAGCGAAACAGAGAAGUCAA